rnacentral:rRNA from 1 species
GACGAACGCUGGCGGCGUGCUUAACACAUGCAAGUCGAACGGAAAGGCCCUUCGGGGUACUCGAGUGGCGAACGGGUGAGUAACACGUGGGUGAUCUGCCCUGCACUUUGGGAUAAGCCUGGGAAACUGGGUCUAAUACCGAAUAGGACCACGCGCUUCAUGGUGUGUGGUGGAAAGCUUUUGCGGUGUGGGAUGGGCCCGCGGCCUAUCAGCUUGGGGGUGGGGUAAUGGCCUACCAAGGCGACGACGGGUAGCCGGCCUGAGAGGGUGACCAGCCACAAUUGGACUGGGGCACGGCCCCGAAUGGGGGGGGGGGGAGGAGUGUGGAAUAAGGGACAAGGGGCUCAAGCGUGAUCAAGCCAGGCGGGGGGAGGGAUGAAGGCUGUAGGGUGGUAAAGCCCUUGUACCCGGGGUGAGAAGGACAGUACCGAGAGAAUAAGCGCCGGCUAACUCCGUG